AUUUUUUAAAAAAAACAUCAAGAAUGAAAAAGCAAACAUAAAACCCCAGGAAUUUACCGUGAAACCCUUGUCCAGUUCUGUCGGCGAUGCUUUGAUCUGGAUUUCCUGCAUGGCAGAAUGGGGUUGGACUGGAUGGCCCUUGCGGUCUCUUCCAACUCUAUGAUUCUAUGAUUCAGUUUCCCAAUUAUCUAAUUAAAAUGAAUACAGCAAGAGCAACAACAGCCCUCCUCCUUGUCCAUCGGAACUGGUGCAUUUGGACCUGCUCUCUCCCUGCGCUCCUGACUCAGAAGUAGCUCCAUUUGUUUGACUAGGUCUCCUCGAGGGCAAAGGAGACUUAAAUGACUUGGUAGGAGAAAGUAAUACCAUGGCUUCAAAGUCCAUAUGUAUAUGUAUAUGGCUCUGUUCUCUACAGCACUGACAACAUUCACAUGUGGCCAAAAGAGGGUAUGCAUAGAUACAAUUUUUAUGGUAUUUUAGACAUGACAGGGGACAUUGAUUUUAAUUAAUUAAUUAAUUAAUUAAUUUCUAUCCCUCCUUUCUCCCUCAAGGCACCCAAGAUGGCUCACAGAUCAUACCUACCUUAGUGUCUGGAGGAUUAACUUGGGAAAUAAAAACCUGGUCAUGAUGACACCAUCCCCUGGACAGUCCCCUGUUUUCAUGUACACUGAUUCUCUUUGGUGGUUACAGGAGAGGUGCGUUGGACAUACUUUCCCAAAGGAAUUACUCAGGUGCAAGGUGGCUGGUGAGUAAGGAGGCACAGCAUGUGGACUCCAGCUACUGGUCAUCUAUAGAAGCAGCUUUGUCAUGGAAUAACUUUUCUCUUCCUAAAACAAGAGUUUGGAAGACUUGCUUAUUUGAACUAGAAUCCUUUAGCCAGCAUGGCUGCUGCUCAGAAAGGUGGACUUCCCUCUUCCAGAAUGGGGGGCCUUAUCUGAUCACUCAUCUUCAUUCCUAUCUACCAUCCCCACUGAGGCAGAAUGGCCUGCUUCAAGGAGAGAAUCCAUACAAUGCUCCUGUUCUGUCCAUACAUCUACUGUAGAGAGAACUGAAACCAGGUGGUCCUUCCACAAUGACAGGUGAUCAAGACUAUCAGUGCUGAUCUGUCCAGCUGCUGCUUUGGAAGAGGGGAGGCAAAUCUUAUCAUCACAAGCCCCUAAAGGCAUCCUGACUGCUCUUCUGGUAGAGGAUAUUUUGAUGUGGCUUUUCAACAUAUUCAAACUUUUUCUUGCAUGUUUUUACUGAAGACCAAACAGUGUACUGUACUACUUCAGCUGCAUAGAAUGGCCUUAAUCCUCCCUCCAGGCCAGUAUGUCCUGCUCCCAAUCCGUGCAGUGGUGAUUGGUGAGUUCCAUGUCAUUGGGAAAAUGAAUAAAUUCCGGCAGACUUUGGUCCAGACUUUAAAGAGAUAUCCAAAACAGCUCCUUUUUCUCAAAUAUGGUCAGUUCCUUGGAUAGCUCCUUUAAAGUUUGGAUUAAAAUCCAGAGUGAAUUCACCAUCUCAGUGCCAUGACAGCCACUCUAUCUCAGUUUGGUGGGUAUAGGAGCUUUAACUUUUGCACUCCACACCGAUCCUGAUCUACGCGCGCACAAACACACACAACAAUCUGCAUUGCUCCCCAAAAGGGCCAACUUAUUUCAAUGGGGCAUUUACCAUAUACUAUCUUUUGGCCUAGGUUAAUCCAUUGAUGGCAUAUAUUGUUUAUGGCUUUCUACGUCUGCAUCAGAGGUAAGUGUACCUCUCAGAGUCUUAACAAGUUGGAACUAAUACCUUCUUGUGGUUAUGGAUGAGAAUAGUCUCUUAUGUGAGAGGUGGAUACCACCAUUCUACAAAUGAUCAUAAUAAAUUUUUUGUCAUGUGAGUUUGCUCUGGCUUUUUAUGUCCUUUUAUUUAACUAUAUGUACAUUUUAAAUGUCUGGGGUAAGCUUAAGUCAACUGGGCCUCAUUCCCACUGCCUU